rnacentral:rRNA from 1 species
UGAGGAAUAUUGCGCAAUGGAGGAAACUCUGACGCAGCCAUACCGCGUGCAGGAUGACAGUCCUACGGAUUGUAAACUGCUUUUAUAUGGGAAGAAACCCCGGAACGUGUUCCGGGCUGACGGUACCAUAAGAAUAAGGACCGGCUAACUCCGUGCCAGCAGCCGCGGUAAUACGGAGGGUCCAAGCGUUAUCCGGAUUUAUUGGGUUUAAAGGGUCCGCAGGCGGGAUUCUAAGUCAGUGGUGAAAUCCUACAGCUCAACUGUAGAACUGCCAUUGAUACUGGUAUCCUUGAGUGUAGUUGAAGUAAGUGGAACGUGUUAAGUAGCGGUGAAAUGCAUAGAUAUAACACAGAACACCAAAAGCGAAGGCAGCUUACUAAACUAUUACUGACGCUCAUGGACGAAAGCGUGGGGAGCGAACAGG